AUACGGAGGAUCCGAGCGUUAUCCGGAUUUAUUGGGUUUAAAGGGUGCGCAGGCGGGAGAUUAAGUCGGCGGUGAAAUUUUGCAGCUCAACUGUAAAAGUGCCUUCGAAACUGGUUUCCUUGAGUGUAGAUGAAGUAGGCGGAAUUUGUGGUGUAGCGGUGAAAUGCAUAGAUAUCGCGAGGAACUCCGAUUGCGCAGGCAGCUUACUAAACUACUACUGACGCUCAGGCACGAAGGCGUGGGGAUCAAACAGGAUUAGAUACCCUGGUAGUCCACGCAGUAAACGAUGAUUACUAGCUGUUUGCGAUACAAUGUAAGCGGCUGAGCGAAAGCGUUAAGUAAUCCACCUGGGGAGUACGUUCGCAAGAAUGAAACUCAAAUGAAUUGACGGGG
rnacentral:rRNA from 1 species